rnacentral:hammerhead_ribozyme from 1 species
AUCCAGCUGACGAGUGCCAACUGGGACGAAACAGGCGUUCUGUAU